rnacentral:tRNA from 1 species
GGGUGUAAAUUGGGUGUAGAAAUUGUAAAAAUAAGCUGAAACUGUUGUGAAUAAAGGAUUUUAUAUAGCCUUCCAAGCUAUUAAUGCGGGUUCGAUUCCCGCCGCCCGCU